rnacentral:tRNA from 1 species
GAGGGUAUAGCUCAGUGGUAGAGCAUGUUCUUAACAUGCACGAGGUCCUGGGUUGAAUUCCAAGUAUCUCCA